AGUGAACGCUGGCGGUAGGCCUAACACAUGCAAGUCGAACGGCAGCACAGUAAGAGCUUGCUCUUACGGGUGGCGAGUGGCGGACGGGUGAGGAAUACAUCGGAAUCUACUUUUUCGUGGGGGAUAACGUAGGGAAACUUACGCUAAUACCGCAUACGACCUACGUGUGAAAGCAGGGGAUCUUCGGACCUUGCGCGAUUGAAUGAGCCGAUGUCGGAUUAGCUAGUUGGCGGGGUAAAGGCCCACCAAGGCGACGAUCCGUAGCUGGUCUGAGAGGAUGAUCAGCCACACUGGAACUGAGACACGGUCCAGACUCCUACGGGAGGCAGCAGUGGGGAAUAUUGGACAAUGGGCGAAAGCCUGAUCCAGCCAUACCGCGUGGGUGAAGAAGGCCUUCGGGUUGUAAAGCCCUUUUGUUGGGAAAGAAAAGCAGCAGGUUAAUACCCCGCUGUUCUGACGGUACCCAAAGAAUAAGCACCGGCUAACUUCGUG
rnacentral:rRNA from 1 species